ACGUCCAAGCAGUGAGAUUGAGUGUUAGGCAAAUCCGGCACUCUUAAGAUUGAGCUGUGAUGGGGAGAGGAACUUGUUCCUCGAGUCGUUGAUUUCACACUGCCGAGAAAAGCCUCUAGCUAGAAUAACGGUGCCCGUACCGCAAACCGACACAGGUAGUCAAGAUGAGAAUUCUAAGGUGAGCGAGCGAACUCUCGUUAAGGAACUCGGCAAAAUGACCCCGUAACUUCGGGAGAAGGGGUGCUCUUUGAGGUUCACGCUUCGAAGAGCCGCAGUGAAUAGGCCCAAGCGACUGUUUAUCAAAAACACAGGUCUCUGCUAAACCGUAAGGUGACGUAUAGGGGCUGACGCCUGCCCGGUGCUGGAAGGUUAAGAGGAGUGGUUAGCGCAAGCGAAGCUACGAAUCGAAGCCCCAGUAAACGGCGGCCGUAACUAUAACGGUCCUAAGGUAGCGAAAUUCCUUGUCGGGUAAGUUCCGACCCGCACGAAAGGCGUAACGAUUUGGGCACUGUCUCAACGAGAGACUCGGUGAAAUCAUAGUACCGGUGAAGAUGCCGGUUACCCGCGACAGGACGGAAAGACCCCGUGGAGCUUUACUGUAGCCUGAUAUUGA
rnacentral:rRNA from 1 species